UAGGGAAUCUUCGGCAAUGGGGGCAACCCUGACCGAGCAACGCCGCGUGAGUGAAGAAGGUUUUCGGAUCGUAAAGCUCUGUUGUAAGUCAAGAACGGGUGUGAGAGUGGAAAGUUCACACUGUGACGGUAGCUUACCAGAAAGGGACGGCUAACUACGUGCCAGCAGCCGCGGUAAUACGUAGGUCCCGAGCGUUGUCCGGAUUUAUUGGGCGUAAAGCGAGCGCAGGCGGUUUGAUAAGUCUGAAGUUAAAGGCUGUGGCUCAACCAUAGUUCGCUUUGGAAACUGUCAAACUUGAGUGCAGAAGGGGAGAGUGGAAUUCCAUGUGUAGCGGUGAAAUGCGUAGAUAUAUGGAGGAACACCGGUGGCGAAAGCGGCUCUCUGGUCUGUAACUGACGCUGAGGCUCGAAAGCGUGGGGAGCGAACAGGAUUAGAUACCCUGGUAGUCCACGCCGUAACGAUGAGUGCUAGGUGUUGGAUCCUUUCCGGGAUUCAGUGCCGCAGCUAACGCAUUAAGCACUCCGCCUGGGGAGUACGACCGCAAGGUU
rnacentral:rRNA from 1 species